rnacentral:rRNA from 1 species
UAGGGAAUAUUGCGCAAUGGGGGAAACCCUGACGCAGCAACGCCGCGUGGAGGAUGACACUUUUCGGAGCGUAAACUCCUUUUGUUAGGGAAGAAUAAUGACGGUACCUAACGAAUAAGCACCGGCUAACUCCGUGCCAGCAGCCGCGGUAAUACGGAGGGUGCAAGCGUUACUCGGAAUCACUGGGCGUAAAGGACGCGUAGGCGGAUUAUCAAGUCUCUUGUGAAAUCUAACGGCUCAACCGUUAAACUGCUUGGGAAACUGAUAAUCUAGAGUAAGGGAGAGGCAGAUGGAAUUCUUGGUGUAGGGGUAAAAUCCGUAGAUAUCAAGAAGAAUACCUAUUGCGAAGGCGAUCUGCUGGAACUUAACUGACGCUAAUGCGUGAAAGCGUGGGGAGCAAACAGG